rnacentral:lncRNA from 1 species
AAAGCUACAUUAGAAACAGCAUCACCAAAAAAACCAGAGUACACAUACCAUCAAAAACACAGUAGCACCCACCAUCGUCACAAAGGAGUGUCGUUGCCGCUAUCGUCGCUAGUCACACUUCACCUUCGCCAGUCACACUCCAUCAUCGCCACUGUAAAGUUGAAUUGCAUAACAAUGGUAUUUUUGUAUUUAUUUAUCACCGCCG